CCCUUAGAUGUUCUGGGCCGCACGCGCGCUACACUGACGAAUGCAACGAGCUUAUAACCUUGGCCGAAAGGUCUGGGUAAUCUCCAAAUUUCGUCGUGAUGGGGAUAGAUUAUUGCAAUUAUUAAUCUUCAACGAGGAAUGCCUAGUAAGCACAAGUCAUCAGCUUGCGUUGAUUACGUCCCUGCCCUUUGUACACACCGCCCGUCGCUCCUACCGAUUGAAUGGUCCGGUGAAGCGUUCGGACCGUGGCCUUUGGACGGUUCGCCGUCUGUUGGCUGCGGGAAGUUCGUUAAACCUUAUCAUUUAGAGGAAGGAGAAGUCGUAACA
rnacentral:rRNA from 1 species